UUAACUCUGGACUUAAUAAAGCACAGUGGACCAAUACUGGCAGAUGACAUGGCUUCCCAAAUCAACACAGACUGUGGAAACUUCAUGCAUCAUUUAAG